rnacentral:rRNA from 1 species
AUUGAACGCUGGCGGAAUGCUUUACACAUGCAAGUCGAACGGUAGAGGGGGCAACCUGGCGACGAGUGGCGAACGGGUGAGUAAUGCAUCGGAACGUGCCCAGUAGUGGGGGAUAGCCCGGCGAAAGCCGGAUUAAUACCGCAUACGACCUAAGGGUGAAAGGGGGGGAUCGCAAGACCUCUCGCUAUUGGAGCGGCCGAUGUCAGAUUAGGUAGUUGGUGGGGUAAAGGCCUACCAAGCCGACGAUCUGUAGCUGGUCUGAGAGGACGACCAGCCACACUGGGACUGAGACACGGCCCAGACUCCUACGGGAGGCAGCAGUGGGGAAUUUUGGACAAUGGACGCAAGUCUGAUCCAGCCAUGCCGCGUGCGGGAAGAAGGCCUCCGGGUUGUAAACCGCUUUUGUCAGGGAAGAAAUCUUCUGGGCUAAUACCUCGGGAGGAUGACGGUACCUGAAGAAUAAGCACCGGCUAACUACGUGCCAGCAGCCGCCGUAA